ensembl:lncRNA
CAAAUCUCUGUGCUCUCCCCCUCCCUUUUCUCUCCCUACCCUCCCACCUUUGUUCCUGUGACUUCACUGUUAGAACUCCACAGCUGGAACUUCCCUCAAACCUUCCAUUCGGUGUCUACUCAUCCUGCGCUCUCUCGGCAGCUUUUACUAAAGAGCCUGAUGACUUCAUGAUUCAUGCCCUGAUGUCAUCUAGCCCCGGUCAAAACAAAGGUGUCUUUUUACAUACAUACACCAUUUUCACCUUCAACACCAGUUCCAACAUGCUAUGUCCAGGGAGACUUAAAAUAACGAAACUAUUACAUCAUCUGUGUUUAGCAAGCGUUUCGCUGACCGCAGAAUUAUCAGCAUCAUGCCCAUGCUACAGAUGGGAACGCGUGUGCUUGUAUUACGCAUCUUGGCCUCUGUUCUUUACAUUUGGAACAGCCAGGGGACGCCUUCAUGGCUCAUUUUUGGGCUUACUUCCCGUGGGAUUUCCUAACCUCAUCCCUCUGAGUCUCAUUCCUCAAGCUGGCUUCAUUCAAGCUAAAGGAUUCUCAGGCGGACCACUCCUCCCAGGCAAAGGCACGGAUGUGCGUUUUCAGAAGGCCCUUCAAAGUCUUAACACAAGGAGGACUGUCACAGCGAGUCGGAUGAUGUGUCUGCCAGCUGCUCACAAGUAGGGGCACAUCUGGUGUGAGAACUUGAGCAGUAGGAACCUACAGGACGCCAGGCCGGGAAGCGGGGGGCAGAGUGCCCACUAGUGGGCGGACCACGGUGAAGCAAGACAGAGGAGCCUGGUGGGCUACAGUCCACAGGGUCGCGAAGAGUCAGACACGACUGAGCGACUUCACACACAGUGGCUCAGCAGUAAAGAAUCCAUCUGCAAUGCAGGAGAC